rnacentral:sRNA from 1 species
CCUAUCUAUCUAUCAUCUAUCUAUCUAUCAUUUAUCUAUAUGUAUGAAGAUAGAGCAUGUUUAGAUAUAAAAUAUUUAUGGAUCACUCAUGAAGUUGCAGUGGUUGUCAUCAUUGAAAAUAAAGCAUCAGUUUAAUUACUUUGAUUCAUAUAUAACCAAACAGGCUAUAGCUAGUGUGCAUUCUUGUAUAUGAAUGCAUGGAAAUAUAAUACCUUGUUUUAAGACAGCAUUUUAAAUGCUAUCUCUUUAACCUGAAUUCAGUGACCAGAAAGAGCAAGUAUAAAUUCUGACCUCUGGCCAUCGAAACAGCAAUAGCAAGCAGUAUUUGCUUGCAAGUGGAUGGUGCCUGGCAGAGGAGAAAAAAACAAGAACAAAACCAAUAAACACAAGAUACAGGAACCUCACAGACUCAAAGAAGCCCAGUCAAAAACAAAAUAAUUGGUGCCUACCAGCAUUCAUACAUUCAACUAUCCUCACUGCUUUCCAUCUAGACACCCAAGUAUAGAAAGGAACCUAUGGAUAGACCUGAUACCAUGGAGUCAUCUGCACAUAGAAGACAGAAAAACUAUUCCAAAUAAUUAAAUUCAAGAAGCAGGUUGUCUUGCCCUUUAACAUAAUGGGGAUGGACAUAUUUUAUUAAAUAAGUGGUGGAAUGAUGGUGGGUUAGGGGCUGGGGCAGAUUUUGGGUGUUCUAUAUCCAGUGAUCCACUGGGAAAUUUCAUAAGAAAAAAAAAGGUGUGGUUUGGAGGAAAAGGAAGAAGGUGAUGAUCUGCCAUGCUGGAGUCAAGUGCAUUUGGGGAGAGAAAGAAAUAGGGAUUACUAUUUUAGCUAGAGUAUCCCUUCCUAUAAAUUGUACAGGACAGUUUAAUUCUACUAGAAAUAGGUUGAAUAAGAGGAUAUCCCUAAAACAACUGAUAAGUGGUGGAGUCUGAUGAAAUUGUUACUACUAUUUCCUUAUGUUAACAAUAAAAAAAUCUAGAGGAGAAUUGAAUCUCCAAAACUUUUAUCAGGACUGAAAAUGUGGUGACAGUAUGUAGAAGGAAGGAGCUGGAUCACUCUAAUGCUGUGAUUACUACCUGAGGCUUCCUCUCAGAGAUGAUGUCGGUUAGGACAGGAGAACCUGAGCAACCUCAGUCAUCUAUGGCCAGACCUAGAAGGUUAGCUAGAAAGUGAUCUGGUCUUGAUGUCCUCAUGCUGAGGAGGACAGGAGGACAAUAGGGAAGGGUUGGACACAACCAAAAGUGCCACAAAUGACCAGAGAAAUGGUGGGAUUAUAGGCACAUUGAAUAGAAGGCAAAAGAACAGAGUGGGAAGGCGCACAAAAGUCCUGUUAGAUUAAGAAACUACAGGAUUUCAGCUCCCAUGGUGGGAGGCUGAAUGGAGUCAAGUGAAGAGAGGGCCAGCAUAAACUUGAAGUCCAUGUCUAGAGAUAUUUUCACAUCCAAAAGUACCAGAGGUGUGCUGGACCCUCACCAGUCAUUUCCUUGGACUCAGGAAUAUAUUGUCACUGAGGAAAGAGGAAACUUACCUAAUUUCCACCACUGGAUGGUGGUCUAAGUGACUGAUGGAUUGGAAGUUAUGUUUGUUGCAGGUAGCCUGCAGUCAACAACUCCAGUGCAGAAUGGACCCUGAAGAGGAAUUCAAGCACCAACAGAGCCUAUGCAACCACAUCUUGUAUAUAAUUCAUCUGCAUGGUCACAAAUAGAAAGUGAAGAUCAACCACAAUGACUUCAAAUGGGACUCUAUUCUGCAGAUGCUUAUCUUCAGAUCUCAGCCUGGACAUGAUUUGCAAUAGUGCAGACAAAGACUAUAUUUAAACAAUUUUAGAGUUAUGGAGGUUUGCUGUGACGUAUGGAGGUUGAUAAAGCAGAACUGAGUUCCCUGACCUGGGUGAUACUUCUUUCUGAAAGAAAUUUCUAAGAAAAAAAUGGAGAAAAGAACCUGGGUAAGUAUCUAAAAAAGAAGCAAUAUGUCAAACGAAAGGAUCCAAGGUGGUUUUGAAACAUCUAAUCCAAAGAUCAUUUAGCAGAAAACUAAAUUGGGGCCAUUCCAUCCCUGGUUAUUGCUAGAAAACCUUGUAAUUCUGUUUUUCAAGUUCCAUUUCCUGUCAUUACCAGAACAUCAGCUGAGGGUUUACAGAGAUAACACACUAUAUCACAUUACUUGUUUUAAGGGCCCUAUAUAUAGUGUUCUAGAAGACCAUUCCUCAUGCUAAAUUCCGGAAAGAAAAAAAUUGGUCAAAUACUGGAUGUGCCUAUUAUUCUUAUGCAUUCCACAGUGUCCGACACCCUCAGAGUGAGCAGAAUGAUAGCAUUAUGGCUAUUAAAGUUGGAAACCCCAGUAUGUUUCCAAUUCCAGGUAUAGACACAUAGAGUAGGAGGAUUAUAUCCCUUGGAAAUAUCCAUUUUGAUAUUGUAUGUCGGUGUGGACGUUUCCCUUCAUAAAACUGGGAAGAGGGAUAUGGCUAGAAGGAGAAUCUGUGGAAGUAAAACAUUUCCUGAAUAAUGUAACAGAUAGUAAAUUUCUCCUCCAUACACCUGUGAAUGGUAUAUCACUCCUCUGCUCAGCCCCUUCUUGUCAUACACUUAGAUCUUGAGCCCUUGACCUUUCAAUAGAUGAGGACAAGUUGUUUCGCAAAUAUGCACAUUUUUGGGGUCCUAAAAAUUAGAAGAAUUUCACCAGUCAUAGAAGUUCAGCAAACCAAAGUCUUUAUUUGAAUUAGGCAGCAAAACCUGACCAUCCAGAGACAACAGCUCAGACUCUAGGGUUGACUAUGUCUUUGUUUAUCUUAGUAAGUAUUUAAGCAGAUGAUUAAUUUUUAUUUUACUCAAACUACUGCUGAUUAAUCUGGGCCUCAGGUCAGAGUCAGAAUUUGAACUGUGAGAAAUAGGAAAGUAUGCAAUGCUUUUUAAAGAGGAUAAUACAAAUUGAAGAGGAGUGAGAUUGGUUGUGGUGUUGAUCAAUUAUAUUUUGACAGAAGAAUUUGAGCAACGGUGUAUCAGUGACUGGGUCUUAUAUGGGCCACUUGAUUUCAAGGUCUUCCACCCAGAGCUUUGGUGAUCAGAUCUUAUACUGGAUAUUUGGCCUGUUACUCAAUCAAUAUAAAGCAGGAACAUAGGAAUGGGCCAAGUGCCUGGUGUUAAUUAAGGCAUUAUAGCUAAUACUUUUACAAUUGUGUACCUCAGUUUAGGUAUUAAGUAACAUUUUCUUUUACCUUCUUUUGUGAAAUACUGGUUAACAAACAAGAAAGACUAGACAUAUGAGUUGCUACUCUAUACUUAUUUCCAGCAUGAUAGAGAUGCUGGGAGACCACUGUCUUUUUACACACCCUAUACACAAUCUUCAUGUACCUGAAUCAAAUCUUUGAUGGUAAUUCUCCUGGCCCUUAAAUAAACUUGCAGCAUUAAUGUGAUAUUGACCAAAACAUAAAAAAUGUUUAUCAUGGAAGUGCCAUAAAUCUUAACCAGGAAAAACAAAACUUGUUUUUUGGUAUGUGAAUUCGCAUUAUAGGUAGCCAUUUUCCUCUUAUGGUAGAGCAUUUCCUUUUGACUUAGUAUUUCAGCCUAUUAGGUAAGAAAAUGUUUGCUGUAUUCUCAUCUUUAACUACUUCCAACUGACUUUAGGACAUUACUAUUAGGGCUCUGGAUGACUGAAAGUGUAAUCAAAGGCUAUUGAUGGGGAAUUUAUCAGAAGCAAUCACAUAUUUUGUAAUAGUUUAAAUCAGCUUUUAGCAAUUCCAGUGCUUAAGAGCUUUCAGUGAUUGUCAGUCAAGAAGAUACUGAGACAAAUAUGGAUUAUGGACAGAAGUUAAAAUUUUCCAGCAAUUGGGAAAGGUGAGGAAUACCAAGACCAAAUGGACAAUCCCAUUUUCAGGAACAGACAAGUGUAUCUAAAGUCUCUUUGAUGUGUGACAGGUAGAUCAAGUCUUAUGAUUUCCUAAACCAUGUGCAAAUAUUAGUUUACAAAAGGAGGUAUAUUAGUAUUAUGAUUGUAUUUACAUCUCUAUUUAAAAAUAGUGAACAGAUAUCUGUCAGACAUCAAGUAUAGAUUCAUGCCUUUGUGACCUAGAAAAAGCUAUAGCUAUGGUUUAAAAGCCUGAUGAGAAGCACUGUUAAGUUUAUAUUCAGAAGACAACUCAAGGGGGUUUAAAAACUUGAGCUUGUGACUAGAAAAUAAGCACCCAGUACUCUACAAUGUUAUCAGAAUGCCAUUGAUCAAUGGUAACAUUCUGAUCUUUGGAAAUCUUAGUAUAAUGAUAUCAUAGAAAGCGGUAUUAAUAUGAAUCAUUUCUCAUUUUUCUUAUAACUUAUAUCACUGUCUUGCACCUCUGCUGCCUGAUGCUAAUUGCUCUUGUGAGUUGGAGAUGAGGAGACACAGAAUCAAUGGCACAGAUCCUGGAAUGGAUUGGAACAUCCCAGCAGCCUUAUAUGAAUACUGCUACAAGCUCAUUUAAUUAGUCACAGAAGGGUGCUCUUUAUAAAGUGCACCUGCAUUUUAUUGGUCAAUGCAAGCUUCUCUUCUAAGCAUAAUUCCCAACAACCUGGAUGAUCUGCAUCAGCAAUCCUUAGUCUUUCUGGCAGUCUCCAAGUAGGUCCUUCUGCAGGGGUUGCCUUUGUCUCUUUGCUCUGUGCUACAACAUUUAUGGAGAGGCAGCCACUUCCAUUUCUUCUACAUUUCCACACAUUUGUUUUUAGACUUUGACAGCCUAGUGCAAGCCAGGGUGCCAUUUCCUCCACAUUGUUGUCUCCACGUUGGAGUGUUCCCAGUAUACUAGACUGUGACUGUCUCUAAUUUUCCUGUCUUCCAGGAUCUUACCCAUCAUUGAAUAUCAGCCCUCAAAGUGACAUCACUACCGAGGCAUGUAACACAAGGGAGAGAUGAGAAAGAGCCUAUGGUGGUCUCACCCAUCUCAGACAUCCAGGCUUUGCUCACUUCCUUAGGGGUUGCACAAUCAGGAUUUUCAGGGCUUUCAGGAUUUUCAAGAACCAUCAGCAACUGGAGGGUCAUCUUAUUUGUGGAGUAUUGCCUGGAAAUAUGAUGUGUGAGGUACUUAAAAUAAUUAUCAGUAGGACAAUUCUUCCCAUCAUAGCAUAAAUGGCUAUUCAUGAGGGGACAAACACCCUCUUAAAAUUGUCCUACACUUUUCUCAAGAAUAUGACAUCUAGGAAAAGCAAAGAGAACAUGAUUAGUUUGGCUAUGUUCUUCUUUAGCAGCACAUAGUAGCUAAGGGGUUUGUUUGACUAGGUGCCUUAAAUAUAUUGAACCACAUGUGGUUGAGCUUCAGUAACAUUAUGUACCUGGAAAAUGGUUAGGAAUAUUUAGUGAGACCUGGAAUCACAGGUCAAUAUAGAAAUGUUAGUAACAAUGCCAACUCUGCUGUCAUUAAGUCAAUCUGUUAUAAAAUGUGAAUGGCUUCAUAAAGUUGAUGAUCUAUUACCUCCUGUGCCUGUAGUGCUUCAGAUGACUUAGAGAUUAUGACAUUGACAUUCUCUGCCAUAAUGUCCGUCUGAGUCAAUGCAAUAAUAUCUGGUGUCAACCAUGCAGUGCCUGCAGUGAUGGCUGGUCCAUUGUUGAAUACCACAUCCAGCAAGUUGUCAGGAGAAGUUUUCAUUAAAACAGUUAAGACUGAUCUGAUAAUAAUGACCAUAAAUAAAAAAGGGAGGUCAGACACAGACUACUGUGAUUUUUCAGCCAACCUGGCUGCCAGGAGUCACAUUCACAAGGGUUGUCCAUUUUAUGCUUAAGACAAUCACUUUAUAUGGAAAUAUAUCCCAUUAACAAGAUGGCCACAUUUUAGGAGAGCAAGGGGGCAUAAAUCAAGACUGUUAGAGGGGUCACAUAAAUACCAAUAGUUAUAAUGGACUCAUGUCAGAAUUGAAUAGAAUCCCUGUUAACAAAGGGAAUAAUAUUGGAAGGAUCAUGUGAGGUAAACAUUCACAUGAAAUUUUUGAGGUUAGAUGACAGUAUCAGGUAGUCCCUGGUAAAUCUUACACCUAGUGCAGCUUGGCAGUGCUCCAAAAAGAUAGGAAGUCACACAAAAAAUAGGCAUUUGAGGAAUCCUUGCACAGUGAGGUGAACAUAAUGUGCUUGGGGAAACUUUUGGUAUUUGUAAUCAAUACGGGGAAAUGUGAAGUUUCAUACCUAACAUGAUGCUAUAGGUUAGCUUACCAUGAAAGUUCCCCAUGGUUACAUUAUACAGUUAAAUACAAGAGCCAAUGGUUGAGAAAUUGAUGGUAAAGCAGAAAGUUUCCUCUGUGGGAUGCUUGCCUUUUAAUCACCAUUUUGUAGUGACUACAUCCACAAAGGGCAAACUGAAAUUCACAUUGCAAGAAAAAACAACAAGGUAGUGCUGGAAAUUAACUGCAGCCAGCAAAAUAAUUGGCCACUGGUCCACCCAGAUAUCAGUUUCAGAUAGCCAGGACAAUUUUACAGGGUCAGGUACCUUGAUGUCGAUUGGCACUGGGUGGGCAGUGGCCAUUAUAAUUGGGGUUGAUCCACAAUUUUUGAUCCACUUGGUCAUGUUGUAUUAUGUCUUCAAAAAAGCCAAGUAUUUGUAGUAAGGACAUCACUCAUGUCUUCUAGAAUAUCUCUUGCCCAGAUGUUGCAGGGAAUAUCAGCCAUAACAGGUGUAAAAGACCCCUAUUUGCAAUCUAAGUCCUGCCAAGAAACAGGGUCGUAGUCACUCUUGUGCCUUGUUGGGCUCCCACUCCUGUAAUGGAGGGAACAGGCUGCAAUCUCCAAUGUGGUAACCUCAAUGAAUCAUUUUAUGUUAUUAUUGUGACAUCUGCCCCUGUGUGAAGCAAUCUUUUAACAAUCUAAAUGUAUACUCAUCAUUUUGAAAUGAGCAAACACAGGCAAGGUCCAAAUACUCCUGGACAAGAAGGGUUCCCUCUUACUGGCAGGGCUAAAGAGUGUCCCCUUUGAAAUUUACAUUGUCUUCCUGCUUUUGAGAACAGCAAUCCUUAGCCCAUUGGAAAUCUUUUUUACACCUGAGACAACUGGUCUUGGACCUAGUUGAAGAACAAUACUGUCUGAGUUGACAAGGCUUGCCACAACCUCAACAGGUGCAAUCAGGUGGCCUUUCAGGAGGAAGGUUUCUCUUCUGUACACACUCCAUGACCAAAGCAGCAAUGAAAGCAGUCAGUACUGUAAUGGGGCCUGCACCAGGGUCCAAAUCAUGAGGGUGAACAACCUUUAUAUGGAUAACAUCAUUGCUUCAGUCUGCCAUAGCAUUUCCAGUAGCAAUGUUAAGGCCCUGCCAUUCAAGCUGCUUGAUGAUCAUGUCUCUGGGGACAUCACUGACCAUCCUUUUCUCUGCCUCAGUCACACAGGCCAGAAGACUCUGAAGGACUCCCAAGACUGCUGGUUAAUUCUAGCCUGAUUCUCAGCAAAGUCACAAUAUUCAGACUUCCAAUUAAGAAACAUGGGUGGUUUUAACACCACCUUCUGAAGAUUAUACCUAUAUAACAUGUCUGCAGAGACCUCAGAAAGAUAAACAUGAAUAUGCUGCCUCAAAUCUUUUCACCACAGUGCUGAUGUGUAGAUGAAGAUCUGGGUUUUAAUUUUCUGUCAGCUUCAUCAGGGAUAAAAAAAUAUGACAUCCAAGGAUCCUCCAUGAAGAGCCACCAAGAAAGUCUUCACCUACAGAGCUUCCUUCUACACCCUCAUGGAAGGAUUCCCUGUGCUCCUAGUAGCACCCACCACUAAACUCAAGCCUACCACCAUCCAGAAAGGACUCGCCCAGUGGGACCAGCUGGAGCUCCACCCCAUCCCCCAUCCCCGGCCUAGAUCCAGCCUCUGAGCCUCCAUUUCAUUCUCAGCUCUUCUGAGGCAUUCCAGGGGUGACUGGAUGCCCAAGAGCCUGAGAACCAGAUGGCUCCGGCGUCUUUGCAGACUUGGGACCUGACCUGAGAGCCAGCUCGGGCUGUUUCCAGUACUCAGACUAUGCUUCCCCACACACCCCAGAGGGGUGUCCCACAGCUUUCCACAGCUCAACACCGGCCUGGUGACAGCAUGGAGUAGUGUGAUCAAACUUCCUGCAUCCAGCCUUCCAGAGACUAAUCCUACAGCAUCUCAGUUGUUUGAUUUUCAUUUCCCUGAUGAUUAAGCAUGUUGAACAUUUCUUUAAGUGCUUCUUGGAUAUUCAAGAUUACUCAGUUGAAAAUUUUCUGUUUAAUUUUAUAACAUUUUUUUAAAUUCGAUUAUUUGUUGUUUUGGUGUCUAACCUUUUGAUUCUUUAUAUAUAUUGGAUAUUAGCCCUUUGUCAGAUAGCGACUUGGUGAAGAUCUUUUCUCAUGUUUAGGCUACUGUUUUGUCUUCUUUAGAGUAUCUAUUGCCCUACAGAAGCUUUCAGUUUUAUGAAGUUAUGAUUAUCAACUAUCAAUGUUAGAGCCCUAGCCAUUGUUCUCUUCAAUAAAAUUUCUCCUAUGCCAA